CAAACGGCUGAGGAGUGUCAUCUCUUCUGAGUACAACUCCCAUUGUCACUUGCUUAUUCAGAUUUACGGAACGAGAGAGAGGGAGACGCGUAUCAGCAUUCGGGAAACUUUUGCCUAUUCAGAUUAGAGAGAGAAAGAAGCGUUUUAGCAUUCGGGAAACUUUUGAGGCGUCUAGGUCGCCAUUGAUUGAGCUUGAGAAGCUCGUGGAUCUGGAUCUGAGGAAUGGUGACCAUUCUGGUGGCCUUGGUUUUGGGAGUGUUGUUGGGAGCUGUUUUCCUUAUCCCACUUGUUAUCAAGCCUGGUAAAUCUCAAGUUACUCAACCAACCAUCUCCACUAAAGUAUAUCGUUUUGGAUAAAAGAAGAAAGAAGUCUAUUCAAACUACACAUUUAAUUACCAAAUACCAAUAGAUAGAGUUCAAUAACCAUAUGGUUUAAUUGCUACACCAAAUGGACUCAUUGGUCCUACUUAUCAGGGUCCCAGGAGCUACACAAAAGCUGAGGUUGCUUUGCAUAGCACGAGGAAAGGCUGUUGGAUCAAUGUAAAAGAUGAGGUUCAAACUGAUGUCAUUUGAAAUUUAAGAUAUUCGUCUCUCUAUCUCUCCCCGUAUAUGCGUCUCUGUCCGUGUCUCUCUCUGUCUCUGUCUCUCUCUCUCUCUCCCCUGGGGGGGCCAAACUCUCUCUCUCUUAGUUAUAUUCAUUGAUCUUGUAUCAGUAAUAAAUAACUUUGAGGUUUUAUUGCAAGUCUAUGAUGUUACAUCAUAUCUGGAGGAGCAU